rnacentral:rRNA from 1 species
GACGAACGCUGGCGGCGUGCCUAAUACAUGCAAGUUGAGCGCUGAAGGUUGGUACUUGUACCAACUGGAUGAGCAGCGAACGGGUGAGUAACGCGUGGGGAAUCUGCCUUUGAGCGGGGGACAACAUUUGGAAACGAAUGCUAAUACCGCAUAAAAACUUUAAACACAAGUUUUAAGUUUGAAAGAUGCAAUUGCAUCACUCAAAGAUGAUCCCGCGUUGUAUUAGCUAGUUGGUGAGGUAAAGGCUCACCAAGGCGAUGAUACAUAACCGACCUGAGAGGGUGAUCGGCCACAUUGGGACUGAGACACGGCCCAAACGCCUACGGGAGGCAGCAGUAGGGAAUCUUCGGCAAUGGACGAAAGUCUGACCGAGCAACGCCGCGUGAGUGAAGAAGGUUUUCGGAUCGUAAAACUCUGUUGGUAGAGAAGAACGUUGGUGAGAGUGGAAAGCUCAUCAAGUGACGGUAACUACCCAGAAAGGGACGGCUAACUACGUG